CAGGAAAACGAGUAUGUUUUCCUGGCACUAUAGUGGUCCUUUAAUAGAUAUUUCUACAAUGUCCCAUAUCAGCCUCAAAGGACCACUAUAGUGCCAGGAAAACAUACUCGUUUUCCUGGCACUAU